rnacentral:sRNA from 1 species
GGGCCGGUAACGCCUAAUCCCGCCACCGGCUCGUGGUACCUGGACCUCAGGCGGGAGCGGGGGACCCACAUGUUCCUCGGUGCUCGACACCUCGGGGUGAAGCCGCCGAUCCGGCGGCCGGGCUCCUCGGCCCGAACCCGACAGCUCACCUCGUCGGCGUGGAGGAAACCCACA